rnacentral:rRNA from 1 species
GUUUGAUCAUGGCUCAGAUUGAACGCUGGCGGCAGGCUUAACACAUGCAAGUCGAGCGGGGGAAGGUAGCUUGCUACUGGACCUAGCGGCGGACGGGUGAGUAAUGCUUAGGAAUCUGCCUAUUAGUGGGGGACAACAUCUCGAAAGGGAUGCUAAUACCGCAUACGUCCUACGGGAGAAAGCAGGGGAUCUUCGGACCUUGCGCUAAUAGAUGAGCCUAAGUCGGAUUAGCUAGUUGGUGGGGUAAAGGCCUACCAAGGCGACGAUCUGUAGCGGGUCUGAGAGGAUGAUCCGCCACACUGGGACUGAGACACGGCCCAGACUCCUACGGGAGGCAGCAGUGGGGAA